rnacentral:rRNA from 1 species
UAACACGUGAGUAACCUGCCCCCUUCUUCUGGAUAACCGCAUGAAAGUGUGGCUAAUACGGGAUAUUCUGCGCCUGCUGCAUGGUGGGUGUGGGAAAGAUAUUGUUUCGGUGGGGGAUGGGCUCGCGGCCUAUCAGCUUGUUGGUGGGGUGAUGGCCUACCAAGGCGGUGACGGGUAGCCGGCCUGAGAGGGUGGACGGUCACACUGGGACUGAGACACGGCCCAG